rnacentral:rRNA from 1 species
GACAGAGGUCCCGAGCGUUAGGCGGCAUCACUGGGCUUAAAGCGUGUGUAGGCGGACUUCUACGUACCUUGUGAAAUCCCACGGCUUAACCGUGGAACUGCUUGGUAUACUGGUUGUCUUGGGCCAUCUAGGGGCUACUGGAACAAACGGUGGAGCGGUGAAAUGCGUAGAUAUCGUUUGGAACGCCAAUGGUGAAAACAAGUAGCUGGGGAUGUGCCGACGCUGAGACACGAAAGCCAGGGGAGCGAACGGG